CAUAGAGGGAAGCUGCCUGCCAUAGAUCUGUAGUAAGGCCAUAGAGGGAAGCUGCCUGCCAUAGAUCUGUAGUAAGGCCAUAGAGGGAAGCUGCCUGCCAUAGAUCUGUAUUAAGGCCAUAGAGGGAAACUGCCUGCCAUAGAUCUGUAGUAAGGCCAUAGAGGGAAGCUGCCUGCCAUAGAUCUGUAGUAAGGCCAUAGAGGGAAGCUGCCUGCCAUAGAUCUGUAUUAAGGCCAUAGAGGGAAGGUGCCUGCCAUAGAUCUAUAGUAAGGUCAUAGAGGGAAGCUGCCUGCCAUAGAUCUGUAGUAAGGCCAUAGAGGGAAGCUGCCUGCCAUAGAUCUGUAGUAAGGCCAUAGAGGGAAGGUGCCUGCCAUAGAUCUAUAGUAAGGUCAUAGAGGGAAGCUGCCUGCCAUAGAUCUGUAGUAAGGCCAUAGAGGGAAGCUGCCUGCCAUAGAUCUGUAGUAAGGCCAUAGAGGGAAGCUGCCUGCCAUAGAUCUGUAUUAAGGCCAUAGAGGGAAACUGCCUGCCAUAGAUCUGUGGUAAGGCCAUAGAGGGAAGCUGCCUGCCAUAGAUCUGGGGCAGCUCGUAUAAAUCUACUGUAUGGCCAUAGAUCUGUAGUAAGGCCAUAGAGGGAAGCUGCCUGCCAUAGAUCUGGGGCAGCUCGUAUAAAUCUACUGUAUGGCCAUAGAUCUGUAGUAAGGUCAUAGAGGGAAGCUGCCUGCCAUAGAUCUGUAGUAAGGCCAUAGAGGGAAGCUGCCUGCCAUAGAUCUGUAGUAAGGCCAUAGAGGGAAACUGCCUGCCAUAGAUCUGUGGUAAGGUCAUAGAGGGAAGCUGCCUGCCAUAGAUCUGUAGUAAGGCCAUAGAGGGAAGCUGCCUGCCAUAGAUCUGGGGCAGCUCGUAUAAAUCUACUGUAUGGCCGUAGAGCUAUAAGCCACAUACAGAGAACAGACAGUACAGGCCAUAAUAUACAGAAGAGUAAUUGAAUGCUUGUAGCUAUGUGAAUGCCGUAGAGCUGUAGUAAGGCCAUAUAAUGGGGCAGGUGAUUGUACAGCUACUGUAUAGCCAUGAAUAUUGCUACAGGUAGAGUUUAGGCCAUAGAGAUACAGUAAUGCUAGAUAUGUUAUAUCCAUUAGAGCUACAGUAGAGAGACAGAAGUUUCACCAUAGUUACAGAGAGAGACAGCUGGAUGCUACAGAAGGCCAACAGGUUUAUACCAGAGACAGAGUAGUGACCAUAGUUACAGAGAGAGACAGCUGGAUGCUACAGAAGGCCAACAGGUUUAUACCAGAGACAGAGUAGUGACCAUAGUUACAGAGAGAGACAGCUGGAUGCUACAGAAGGCCAACAGGCUUAUACCAGAGACAGAGUAGUGACCAUAGUUACAGAGAGAGACAGCUGGAUGCUACAGAAGGCCAACAGGUUUAUACCAGAGACAGAGUAGUGACCAUAGUUACAGAGAGAGACAGCUGGAUGCUACAGAAGGCCAACAGGUUUAUACCAGAGACAGAGUAGUGACCAUAGUUACAGAGAGAGACAGCUGGAUGCUACAGAAGGCCAACAGGUUUAUACCAGAGACAGAGUAGUGACCAUAGUUACAGAGAGAGACAGCUGGAUGCUACAGAAGGCCAACAGGUUUAUACCAGAGACAGAGUAGUGACCAUAGUUACAGAGAGAGACAGCUGGAUGCUACAGAAGGCCAACAGGUUUAUACCAGAGACAGAGUAGUGACCAUAGUUACAGAGAGAGACAGCUGGAUGCUACAGAAGGCCAACAGGUUUAUACCAGAGACAGAGUAGUGACCAUAGUUACAGAGAGAGACAGCUGGAUGCUACAGAAGGCCAACAGGUUUAUACCAGAGACAGAGUAGUGACCAUAGUUACAGAGAGAGACAGCUGGAUGCUACAGAAGGCCAACAGGUUUAUACCAGAGACAGAGUAGUGACCAUAGUUACAGAGAGAGACAGCUGGAUGCUACAGAAGGCCAACAGGUUUAUACCAGAGACAGAGUAGUGACCAUAGUUACAGAGAGAGACAGCUGGAUGCUACAGAAGGCCAACAGGUUUAUACCAGAGACAGAGUAGUGACCAUAGUUACAGAGAGAGACAGCUGGAUGCUACAGAAGGCCAACAGGUUUAUACCAGAGACAGAGUAGUGACCAUAGUUACAGAGAGAGACAGCUGGAUGCUACAGAAGGCCAACAGGUUUAUACCAGAGACAGAGUAGUGACCAUAGUUACAGAGAGAGACAGCUGGAUGCUACAGAAGGCCAACAGGUUUAUACCAGAGACAGAGUAGUGACCAUAGUUACAGAGAGAGACAGCUGGAUGCUACAGAAGGCCAACAGGUUUAUACCAGAGACAGAGUAGUGACCAUAGUUACAGAGAGAGACAGCUGGAUGCUACAGAAGGCCAACAGGUUUAUACCAGAGACAGAGUAGUGACCAUAGUUACAGAGAGAGACAGCUGGAUGCUACAGAAGGCCAACAGGUUUAUACCAGAGACAGAGUAGUGACCAUAGUUACAGAGAGAGACAGCUGGAUGCUACAGAAGGCCAACAGGUUUAUACCAGAGACAUCACUAUAAGACCUCAAACCUCCUGUUGUUACAGUCAGGACCUGUUCCCCACCGGACCAGAGAAUUCACUAUAAAUAAAUGUUUCUUUUUUCUGUA